rnacentral:rRNA from 1 species
ACUCCUGCGGGAGGCAGCAGUGGGGAAUAUUGGACAAUGGGCGCAAGCCUGAUCCAGCCAUGCCGCGUGAGUGAUGAAGGCCCUAGGGUUGUAAAGCUCUUUCACCGGUGAAGAUAAUGACGGUAACCGGAGAAGAAGCCCCGGCUAACUUCGUGCCAGCAGCCGCGGUAAUACGAAGGGGGCUAGCGUUGUUCGGAUUUACUGGGCGUAAAGCGCACGUAGGCGGACUAUUAAGUCAGGGGUGAAAUCCCGGGGCUCAACCCCGGAACUGCCUUUGAUACUGGUAGUCUUGAGUUCGAGAGAGGUGAGUGGAAUUCCGAGUGUAGAGGUGAAAUUCGUAGAUAUUCGGAGGAACACCAGUGGCGAAGGCGGCUCACUGGCUCGAUACUGACGCUGAGGUGCGAAAGCGUGGGGAGCAAACAGGAUUAGAUACCCUAGUAGUCCCAU